GAGACACCCUUAUGGGGCAGGACUUGCUUCAGUGGGGCUUUGGUGCUCACUGAGUCUGCCCCCAGAGUGUGUCUCU
rfam:Myotis brandtii contig197513, whole genome shotgun sequence.